rnacentral:rRNA from 1 species
AACGAACGCUGGCGGCAUGCCUAACACAUGCAAGUCGAACGAGACCUUCGGGUCUAGUGGCGCACGGGUGCGUAACGCGUGGGAACCUGCCCUUAGGUUCGGAAUAACUCCCCGAAAGGGGUGCUAAUACCGGAUAAUGUCUUCGGACCAAAGAUUUAUCGCCUUUGGAUGGGCCCGCGUUGGAUUAGCUAGUUGGUAGGGUAAAAGCCUACCAAGGCGACGAUCCAUAGCUGGUCUGAGAGGAUGAUCAGCCACACUGGGACUGAGACACGGCCCAGACUCCUACGGGGGGGAGCAGUGGGGGAUAUUGGACAAUGGGCGGAAGCCUGAUCCAGCAAUGCCGCGUGAGUGAUGAAGGCCUUAGGGUUGUAAAGCUCUUUUACCCGGGAUGAUAAUGACAGUACCGGGAGAAUAAGCUCCGGCUAACUCCGUG